GAUGAACGCUGGCGGCGUGCCUAAUACAUGCAAGUCGAGCGAACAGAUGAGGAGCUUGCUCCUCUGACGUUAGCAGCGGACGGGUGAGUAACACGUGGAUAACCUACCUAUAAGACUGGGAUAACUUCGGGAAACCGGAGCUAAUACCGGAUAAUAUAUUGAACCGCAUGGUUCAAUAGUGAAAGACGGUUUUGCUGUCACUUAUAGAUGGAUCCGCGCCGCAUUAGCUAGUUGGUAAGGUAACGGCUUACCAAGGCAACGAUGCGUAGCCGACCUGAGAGGGUGAUCGGCCACACUGGAACUGAGACACGGUCCAGACUCCUACGGGAGGCAGCAGUAGGGAAUCUUCCGCAAUGGGCGAAAGCCUGACGGAGCAACGCCGCGUGAGUGAUGAAGGUCUUCGGAUCGUAAAACUCUGUUAUUAGGGAAGAACAAAUGUGUAAGUAACUAUGCACGUCUUGACGGUACCUAAUUAGAAAGCCACGGCUAACUACGUG
rnacentral:rRNA from 1 species